GAUGAAGAACGUAGCGAAAUACGAUAAGUAAUGUGAAUUGCAGAAUUCAGUGAAUCAUCAAAUCUUUGAACGCACAUUGCGCCCGCCAGUAUUCUGGCGGGCAUGCCUGUUCGAGCGUCAUUACAACCCUCAGGCCCCCGGGCCUGGCGUUGGGGAUCGGCGGAGCCCCCCGUGGGCACACGCCGUCCCCCAAAUGCAGUGGCGGUCCCGCCGCAGCUUCCAUCGCGUAGUAGCUAACACCUCGCGACUGGAGAGCGGCGCGGCCACGCCGUAAAACACCCAACUCUUCUGAAGUUGACCUCGAAUCAGGUAGGAAUACCCGCUGAACUUAAGCAUAUCAAUAAGCGGAGGA
rnacentral:misc_RNA from 1 species